GACGAACGCUGGCGGCGCGCUUAACACAUGCAAGUCGAGCGACGAAAGGUCCUUCGGGACCCUGAAAGCGGCGAACGGGUGAGUAACACGUGGGUAACCCACCCUCGGUUCCGGGAUAGCCCGGGGAAACCCGGAUUAAUACCGGAUGGCCUCUCGGGCCUGCGGGCUCGAGAGAAAAGGUAGCUUCGGCCUCCGACCGAGGACGGGCCCGCGGCCGAUGAGCUCGUUGGCGGGGUAACGGCCCACCAAGGCGACGAUCGGUAGCUGGUCUGAGAGGACGAUCAGCCACACUGGGACUGAGACACGGCCCAGACUCCUACGGGAGGCAGCAGUGGGGAAUCUUGCGCAAUGGGCGAAAGCCUGACGCAGCGACGCCGCGUGCGGGAAGAAGGCCUUCGGGUUGUAAACCGCUUUCAGGGGGGACGAAGCCACUCGGGUUAACAGCCCAGAGGGUGACGGUACCUCCAGAAGAAGCCCCGGCUAACUACGUGCCAGCCGCCGCUGUAAAAC
rnacentral:rRNA from 1 species